CAGCAGCCACGGGAAUACGAAGGGUGCAAGCGUUAAUCGGAAUUACUGGGCGUAAAGCGUGCGUAGGCGGUGAGUUAAGUCUGCUGUGAAAUCCCCGGGCUCAACCUGGGAAUGGCAGUGGAUACUGGCUCGCUAGAGUGUGUCAGAGGAUGGUGGAAUUCCCGGUGUAGCGGUGAAAUGCGUAGAGAUCGGGAGGAACAUCAGUGGCGAAGGCGGCCAUCUGGGACAACACUGACGCUGAGGCACGAAAGCGUGGAGAGCAAACAGGAUUAGAUACCCCGGUAGUCCCUGUCUCUUAUAA
rnacentral:rRNA from 1 species